UCCACUUCCACCUUUUAUCUCUCCAGCCCCCUCCUUACUACUUAUGUGUCUCUUCAGCACUCCUCCUUAAAGGGAAAUGCUAAGCACCCAAACAACUUUAGCUUAAUAAUCAGUUUUGGUGUAUAGAUCAUGCCACUGCAGUCUCAUUGCCCAAUUCCCUGCCAUGUAUGAGUUAAAUCACAGUUUUUUCUGUUUAUGCAGUGCCAGCCACACCUCCCCUGGUUGUGACUGAC